AGUGCUGGGACUAAAGGCGUGCC
rnacentral:piRNA from 1 species